CACCGUCAAUUCAUUUAAGUUUCACCGUUGCCGGCGUACUCCCCAGGUGGGAUACUUAACGCUUUCGCUGUACCACCCAGGCCCCAUUCGGCCCGGACAGUCAGUAUCCAUCGUUUACUGCGUGGACUACCAGGGUAUCUAAUCCUGUUCGAUACCCACGCUUUCGUGCAUGAGCGUCAGUAGGGCGCCGGUGUGCUGCCUUCGCAAUCGGAGUUCUGCGUGAUAUCUAUGCAUUUCACCGCUACACCACGCAUUCCGCACACUUCUCGCCCACUCAAGAAAACCAGUUUCAACGGCCGGACGGGGUUGAGCCCCGAAUUUUUACCGCUGACUUGGCUUCCCGCCUGCGCACCCUUUAAACCCAAUAAAUCCGGAUAACGCUCGCAUCCUCCGUAUUACC
rnacentral:misc_RNA from 1 species